CACACGUGCUGCAUCCCUCCCAUUCUGUUGCACUUAAGUCCAGAUUAACUCUGACCAUUCCCACACGCAAGCAGAGAGCGACACAACACCACGGUGCCUAAGACCAUAGAAACUGCCACAGAGGUGGGGGCAGAGAUCGUCUUCAAGGUUGCUGUCAUCUGGAAUUUUAUGUCCUUCAUUUUCUUUCACUCUGUAUGCCUGUCACAUCGGCUUAACUACCAGAGAAGACCUUCCAGCAUGCCUGGUUUCUUCCAACCUUAUUAACUGAUGUAAAGAAAGAGGACAGGACUUCCUAUGGUCCUCGGCAGUGCUCUGCAAGUCAUCCUGGAGAUUUGAGUCUGUGGAGCUUUCUGGGAAGAAUAUUUCAUUUGUUUUUAUUUCUGCACUCCCAAGCUAUGUAAUUAAUGUUGCAUAAGCACAGAUAUACUGUUUACAGCUUCCUAAAAUCUCACCUAGAGCAUCAGAUGGAAAUUUUCUAGCCUCAGUUUCUGCCUGAAGGUGAAUAUAUACUAAACAGUUCAGCAAAAAUUGAGAUGCUCAAGAACGAAAGCAGGAAGAAAAAGAGCCCUAUGGCUGGAGAGACUUAUGGAAACCUUUCUGGAGGAAGGCCUCUUCUCUAACUGACAGACUGGGGAUCAGGGAUAAAAAACACAGCUCAUUUCAAACUGAAACAUGUAAAUUCUUGUUCUGAGAUGAUACAACAAUCCUUUUCCCUCAAGACUAUUACCUUGACAAAGUGACUCCUAUAGUUUAGCUCCCUUUUAUUUUCAAUUCAACGGCUUAAUAAAGAAUUGAAAAGACCCUGCAUUAUCUUCCUCUGAAAGAAACACAUUAUGUCAUUUUACUGGUGAAGAAACACUUCGAGAAGCACUUGCUGUUCCUACUGAGAGCCUGUCGCAGGUGGACUUUGCUUGAUGCCUCUUGCUGACUCCUGGACUUGUUUUCCUCGGCAUUAUUUAUGGGAACCUUUCCAGGCAGAAGCUGCUUCAGAUUUCAUGGUGAAUAUAUCUGUCAGUCCAACACACUGAGAAUUUCAGCCUACCAUGAAGCAUCACACAACGCCGAAAGUGAGGAGGUGUGACUGGCGUUCAAGAGACAAGAGCAGAAGCAAAAAUGACCGUAGCACUCGUCCAGAAGUCACAACCUUAUACAGAGGCUCCACCCUGUGCUCCUAGUUUUUGGUCUAGCAUGGCACCAAUGCCUUGCUACAUAGCUUUGCAAAAGCUUCAGUUUCUCAGAGGUAUUUAGGCACUUAAACCAAUGAGAAGUGGUACAUAUAGCCUUUCAGAAAUCUGUCUUUGAUUUCAUCAUCCCAUAAAUCUCUUUAAUGGAGACAUUCCUUAUCUUUUCUGCUUCACAAGCCAGUUGUGAAGCUUAAUUAUGUUAUGAUUAUGAAGUCCAGUAAAUACACUGCAUAUUAAGAGUAGUUAAUGAUAUUUCUGUCACAAACAGACUCUGUAUCUUCUAGAAUAUUAUUCACAUGUUGCAAAAAGAACUCCAACAGUUUUCAAAAGAAAAUCACAGACAUAUUUAACAGAAAACAAAUUCAGCUUGAUUUCUUCCAUGAAUAAUAUGUUAUACAACUCAACGAUACUUAUUAACAUGGCAUGGAAAAUAACAGAGACUUUUCUGACCAACGUGGAAUGCUGUCUGCCCAUCCACAUAUCAAUCAUUACCUGAAGUACCUGGCCAAGACUCGCAUCCCCACCCUCGAGUAAUCUGCUUUCUCAGGGAUCUAGUCGCUUAAAUACACCCAAAGACAUGACAUGAGAUACUGUUGCACUGAGUACUAUGUAAAUCCAUUACAAAUAGUUUGACUUGUUUUCAAGUUGUGUAUACCCAGUAAUACUGCCUUGCCUUACCACUGGGUUUCACACAUAAAAAGUGCACGUGGAAUGUAUUCAGCCAGUUAAGAUUCCUCACACUGCUACAACUUUUUGUUCAUAAUCUUUGCAUGAUCAAAAUAUGUUAUGUUGCCAGAAAAGAAUGAGGAAAGACAGUAAAAAUAAAAAAAGAGAAAGUCUAAAUGGUUAUGCAGUAAUGUAAUGGCUGAAGAGGGUCCAUUGCACAAGAGAUAAAUACUUUCCCGACAGAUACUCGUAUACUGACCAAUUCAUUAAUGUCGUAGUGCAGUGGGCCUUGGCUAGAUGAAUAUGUGCACACAUAAGAAUGCAGAGAAAGCAUGACUUGCACAUUCAGUGCUUUGUCAAGUGGUAGUAAAGCAUAUAGCUUAAUAAGGGGAGGAGUAAUCAAAGGGGGAAGGCGUGAUUCCUUAGAAAGACAGGGCUCUCUGGUAUGCAUCCUUCCCAGGCAAAGCAAACAUACAUCUUACCUAUGCUAUAUCUGGGCAAAUACGUUUUCUUUUAGCAAUUAUGAUACAAAAUUCACAGAUUAAUAAGACUUUUGCAGAACUCAGGCAGGAUUGAUUUUCAGCACACAGUGCCUGUUACAGCAAGUUCUAUUUCUAUUCAUCAAAAGAAAACCUGUUUGUUGACCUAAAGUGAGAUUGCUUCCUAUUCUCUUCCUGUGAAAUUAUUUAGGUCCUAUGGGACAACUGUACUGAGCUUUUGACGCAAAUAUUAAAAUUCUAUUUAGAUGUACAAUGUUUUAAUGCAAAUUUUUACCAUAAAACCAAAUGCUCCAUUCAGUUAAAUUAAUAGAAUUACAAAAAGAUGUAAUGAUAGCAAUUAAGUCUUGAAAAUGCAAAUUUUAUAGUCAAGGACAAUUACCUCAUUUAUAGUAUACUGGAAUGAUGCCAGAUGAAGGUAAUUUAGAUCCCCCUAGCUCACAGUUAUAUCAUGAAGGAUAUCUUAAUUUCAUUAGUACAACAAAGAUGGGUAAGAAGUUAGAGAAUACAAAAAAAAAAGAGAUAGGAGAGAAAAUUUGACCUUUCUCAUUUCAUUGUAACUAAAAUACAUAGAUCGUCCUAAAGUAUUAGUAAUAUUUCUUUGUACUCCCAUUUCCGAAAAAAUACUUUUUUUUUUUUGAACAUUAGUAUGUGAAAGGUCAGCUUCAUUGUGCCCAUACCACAACAGUUACAAAACUCCCAUUAUUUCAGUUUUGAGGAUGUAUACAAUGCUCACACUUGGCCUACAAGGUCUCAAGCCUUGAUUUUGACUCAAAACAUGAUUUUGACUCAAACAGAACUUAAAAGAUCUUGAAAAAUUCUGCUCUCUCUUACAAAAGUACUCUUACCUUCUUCUAACAGGAAAUCCAAGUAUCACUAGUUUUUGAUUAGCAUAACAAAAGGUGAUCAAAUGGAUGCAGAAUACAGACUGAUAUUCUUCAGAUUUCCUAGCCUGUUUGUGGUGAAGUGGGGGUGGGAGAAAAAACUGUUUCAUACAGACUCUUUUGCAAUUUACCAAAUUCAAAUAGGAAUUUGGAAGACUCCAGAGGUUCUUUCUCACUGCUCUAGUACCUACUCGUAAUUCAAACAAAUAUGCAGGGAAUGGCAUAUUAUAUAUGAAGUAAUAUGAAGCUUAAAUAAAAACUCUUUACGUUUACCAUUGUUAUUUCAUGAGCUGCUGUAGCGGCUACAGAGCAACUCCAGUUCAAGAGACUUGGGCUCACUGAAAACCUGUAUCCUUCUAAAGCAUUCUAGUUCUAUCAAAUUCCCUUACUAAAACCUGUCACGGGGGUUCUGGGAAGAGUCGAAAACCUUAUGGACAGAGCAGCAAACUUUUCACCACUUUCCUCACCCUGAGCACAAGUAACAAGAGCAGCACAAAGCAUGCUUGCCAAGAGAAGGAGCUCCUUACCCACAAAAGAUGUGGCUCAUUUGUGGCUUAACUCCAGACUUUGCAUCCUGGAGUUGCCCCCAAACCUCCCUCUGGAAAACCCACCUCAACACCCUAUAAUGUGCCAACAGCAGGAGAACGAGUUUACCUCUUUGCAACAUCACACUGCAGUCAGAAUGCAAGACUGCAGAUCCCAACCUAGACACCCUCCCAGUGUUACUUUGUAGACCCUGCUUGCUGCAGAACAACCCAUGCGUGUGAGGGGUAUAAGAUUUUUAUCCUUCAUGCCAUUGUCUCCAUGAUAGCUAGUGUAAUAUUUUUAACUGAUAAAAUUCAUAUACGCAAGCCUUACUGGGAAACAAGUGGAAACAAGUCAAAUUGUUUUGUUAAUCUGACCUACAAGUUCACUAAAAUUGUUCUUCAGUGAUUUAGUUAAAGGCACCAUUUACCAUAAAAACAGAGUCUUAAAAUCAAAGGACAGCUAUGACCCGAGUUUAGUUCAUUAUUGAUUUUAAUAACAAGGCUGUUGGCUAUUUUGUUUUAAGAAAACAAGACUAUUCUGAUGGAAAAAAAAAAAAGUACCCUAAGUAGGAUUUGUGCUCUUUCUUCCUUAUUCCUGAAUUAAAAUGCAGCUGUGCACACACGGAGACUUGUUGACUUUGCUUGCUUGGAGAUGGUUUUGUGAAAAUAAGAAAAGGCCUAGUUUUUUUCCCCCCUACGCUUGUCAACAUGUCAACAUCAGGCACACUUGUAGUGCUGUCCUUGUUUUGCACUGGUCUCACAAGUCAAAGUUUGACCACAAUGAAGUGAGCUGGAGAAAUGUCAUUGACUUCAAUGGCACGAUUUCACUCCAUAUUUCUUCAAGUCAAGGAUGCUACCAGUCACCUGUUUGAAACCAAUGGAUGAUAUUCUGGCUCAAGGAAAGUCAUUGGCUUCCUGAGGGGUUCAGAUUUCCUUCAGUGAAUUCAGACUUCUAUUGUCCAAGAGGAAAAUUAGACCUUGUACCAAUAUUGUCCUUUCCCAUGCUUCUGAUUAUUAUACUCCAUUACACCUGAGAAGUUAACCUGAGCUUGUUAUUUUUAAUUUGUUUGUUUGUUUAUAUGGACCAAUUCUAAACUCUCAGAAAGUCUUUGUGGAUGUCAUUUGGAGAUUUGGCUUAAUCACGCGUGCUUAAUUGAGUUAAGACUGGGUAUGUUUGUACUUUAAUUGUACAACAGAUCUUAAACUUCCAUGUCAUUUUAUUGAAAAGUAUAGAUUUAACAAGCUAAUAUUUUGUGAAUCUGCUGAGUCUCAGCUGUUGCAGGGUGAAAUGUUUUAUCUAGACUAUUCUCAGUGUGUCUCAGUUGUAAAAAAAAAAAACAGGCUGUUAUUGUAAUAGGAUAUUGAUUAGUUUGGAUCCUAUACAAAGCAGAACUUGAUUCUGUGGUGGACCACCAAAGGUCAUAUUGCUUGAUUGCUCCAUAGCUUCUAAAAUACAAGAAAUAUUGAACCAAAACUGCUUUCAAUUAUACUUACGUUAUAUGAGGCCUUGGAAUUUAACUGAGGGCAGCAUUUGGCCCAUUCCGUUAAAAGGGGGGCUGAUUCUCAGCAUUUCAUGUUGUCAUUGGCAAAGCUGAACAUCAGUUAUGCCCAUCUAAGUGAUGUUCUGGGCUAAACUUAAUUCCAAGAUAAGCAGGUGCACAUCUAUCCAUUGACUUACAUUUCGAUGUAUCUGACAUAGGAUGAUCUGUGCGUAGUGUUAUCUGAAAAUUAUGUUGGGUUUAUGAUUAUUGUUGUUUUUACAACUUCCUGUGCAUUUUUGAGGAAGAAUAUUUAUAACUGUUUAUAUACCUCAGAUCUCUAAAUUCCUCACUUCAUCUGUCACAAUGAUCUUAGGUUGGCAAUAGGCUAACACCUCGCUGUUAAGUAAGAUUUAACCAAAGCAUGAUGCUGUUGUGAGUGAAAUGAAUUAGCUUUUUUUUCUGACAAAUAUGCAGACCAAAAAUUAUAUAGUGUUGUCAAAAUAUGUUGUCAAAAACAGUAUAGAUCUAGCUCUUCCAUUAGUUAGACUGACACCACCAAGGCUUCUAGGAAAUGUCGUAAGUGGGGGGAAAUUUUUUCCUAUUCUAUCUUCUUUCAAUAAAUUCAAUUUUCUGGUUAGGACUCCAAUAGAGAAAAUUUCAUUUGUGGUCACCCACAAAAUUCAAGACAACUAUGGAGAAGAAUUCUAGUAACAACUCAAUUAUUUCCUUGAUCCUAUCAGGAAUGUGAGUUAGAUUUUGCUUAAUGCUAGAUUCCACUAAAUCCUAAAAUGCGGUA